AGAUACAAACACACAAUGCUGGAUAUACGGUUCACCUGUUCCCUCAGAGUUCCUGCCAAGGCAUCUAUUUAAGGUCCUAUAACUCAACUUUUCACAACCCACAAUUUUCUCAAGCCUUCUCUUCUUUAAGCUCUAUAUCACCCAACUAUCUCUCUCUCCCUCUCUCUCCCUGUGAAAGUUCGGGCAAAACCCAAACUGUAGAAGGAAACAAUGUGUAGGAACUCCUCAGAAAUGAUUCCAUACAGUCCUCUGUACUCUUCUUUCCGCCUCCGACGGCCAUCAAAGCAUCACAGCUUUCGCGUUCACCGCCUAAUCAACAGGAGGAGAUCAAUUACAAAAGAAGCAAAAGAGAAGGAGAUGGAAAUCAAGAACCUGAAGUUGUACAUGGAGAAUAAGAGCAUAAUAGAAGAGAAUAACAAGUUGAGGAGAAAAGCACUUCUCCUUGUCCAAGAGAAUCAAGCUUUGUUUUCGCAGCUCCAACAGAAAAUCUCAGACCAUGCAUGCAGUGCUACUAUGAAACAAGAUCACUAAAACAUAUUAUAUAUAGCUUAAUUUUGCAAUAGUAGUUAACAAGGAGAGUAGUAGGGGCCAUGGCUUCAUUUUGUUUUUUCAUCUCCUUGUUGGGGCCUUGGGGGAAAUCUAAUGUCUCAUCAUCUGUUCCUACCUCAAUUCGGCCUUUUUCUUCUUUCCAAAAAUUCUGGUUGGGCAAAAAUAAAAGGGAGCCAUUGACGAUUGAGAACAUGAAACCCUAUUAAAUAUUCGUCUGUAACUCCACCCUUUUUCUAUUUGUUGGGUUUCUUAUAUGAACACGUUUUUCUCUGGCUGAAAGGGAUGCUGAAAGGGAUGUGAAUUAGAAACCCUAUUGUA